rnacentral:rRNA from 1 species
UGGGGAAUAUUGCACAAUGGGCGCAAGCCUGAUGCAGCAACGCCGCGUGAGGGACGACGGCCUUCGGGUUGUAAACCUCUUUUAGUAGGGAAGAAGCGAAAGUGACGGUACCUGCAGAAAAAGCACCGGCUAACUACGUGCCAGCAGCCGCGGUAAUACGUAGGGUGCGAGCGUUGUCCGGAAUUAUUGGGCGUAAAGAGCUCGUAGGCGGUCUGUCGCGUCUGCUGUGAAAACCCGAGGCUCAACCUCGGGCCUGCAGUGGGUACGGGCAGACUAGAGUGCGGUAGGGGAGAAUGGAAUUCCUGGUGUAGCGGUGGAAUGCGCAGAUAUCAGGAGGAACACCGAUGGCGAAGGCAGUUCUCUGGGCCGUAACUGACGCUGAGGAGCGAAAGCGUGGGGAGCGAACAGGAUUAGAUACCCUGGUAGUCCACGCCGUAAACGUUGGGCGCUAGAUGUGGGGACCAUUCCACGGUUUCCGUGUCGCAGCUAA